rnacentral:lncRNA from 13 species
UAAACGCUUGAUUUAUUUUUAGGUGCGUCAAGUUUGACGAAAUAAUUGAAAGGAGACUAUCGUGCGGAGGGUUUGAAAGGAGAGGAAAGAACGGUGCUUUAAGGAAUAUAUCGCGUGCCAUCAGAUGGAUCAUACAUCGUUGUGUAUGCCGUAUCAUCAUGCAGCAUCGACGCAAUUGACUCGAUUUAAGAAUUAAAAUCUGCAUGUAAGCUGUUAAUUAGUGAUGUAAUUUACUGAUUGAUUAUGUAACGUUACACCACGCUGUCACUAGUAAUUAUAUUAUUAUAUUUUAUA